rnacentral:rRNA from 1 species
UAAGAGUAAGGGUGCUAGUCGCCCGACCUCCACCCUCUGUUGUUAAAACUACCUUGUUGCUUUGGCGGGACCGCUCGGUCUCGAGCCGCAGGGGCUUCGGCCCAGGCGAGCGCCCGCCAGAGUUAAACCAAACUCUUUGUUUUUAUAACCGGUCGUCUGAGUAAAAUUUUUGAAUAAAUCAAAACUUUCAACAACGGAUCUCUUGGUUCUCGCAUCGAUGAAGAACGCAGCGAAAUGCGAUAAGUAAUGUGAAUUGCAGAAUUCAGUGAAUCAUCGAAUCUUUGAACGCACAUUGCGCCCCUUGGUAUUCCGAGGGGCAUGCCUGUUCGAGCGUCAUUACACCACUCAAGCACUGCUUGGUAUUGGGCACCGUCCCCCUCCUCUGGGGGGCGAGCCUCAAAGACCUCGGCGAGGCCUCACCGGCUUUAGGCGUAGUAGAAUUCUUUCGAACGUCUUUAAAUGGGGAGGACUUCUGCCGACAGAAGCCUUUAAUUUUUCUAAGGUUGACCUCGGAUCAGGUAGGGAUACCCGCUGAACUUAAGCAUAUCAAUAAGCGGAGGAAAAGAAACCAACAGGGAUUGCCCCAGUAACGGCGAGUGAAGCGGCAACAGCUCAAAUUUGAAAGCUGGCCUUCGGGUCCGCAUUGUAAUUUGUAGAGGAUGCUUUGGGGCAGCCGCCUGUCUAAGUUCCUUGGAACAGGACGUCAUAGAGGGUGAGAAUCCCGUAUGUGACAGGACAUGGCACCCUAUGUAAAGCUCCUUCGACGAGUCGAGUUGUUUGGGAAUGCAGCUCUAAAUGGGAGGUAAAUUUCUUCUAAAGCUAAAUACCGGCGAGAGACCGAUAGCGCACAAGUAGAGUGAUCGAAAGAUGAAAAGCACUUUGGAAAGAGAGUUAAAAAGCACGUGAAAUUGUUGAAAGGGAAGCGCUUGCAAUCAGACUUGUUUUGACUGUUCGGCCGGUCUUCUGACCGGUUUACUCAGUCUGGACAGGCCAGCAUCAGUUUUGGCGGCCGGAUAAAGGCCCAGGGAAUGUGGCUCUCACUUCGGUGGGAGUGUUAUAGCCCUGGGUGUAAUACGGCCAGCCGGGACGAGGUCCGC